GACGAACGCUGGCGGCGUGCUUAACACAUGCAAGUCGAACGGAAAGGCCCUGCUUUUGUGGGGUGCUCGAGUGGCGAACGGGUGAGUAACACGUGAGUAACCUGCCCUUGACUUGGGGAUAACUUCAGGAAACUGGGGAUAAUACCGGAUAGGAGCUCUUGCCGCAUGGUGGGGGUUGGAAAGUUUCGGCGGUUGGGGAUGGACUAGCGGCCUACCAGCUUGAUGGUGGGGUAGUGGCCUACCAAGGCUUUGACGGGUAGCCGGCCUGGGAGGGGGACCGGCCACGUUGGGCUUGGGAUGCGGCCCGGACUCCUACGGGAGGCAGCAGUGGGGAGUAUUGCACAAGGGGCGGGAGCCUGAUGCGGCAACGCCGCGUCCGGGGUGACGGCCUUCGGGUUGUAAACCACUUUCGCCUGUGACGAGGCGUGAGUGACGGUACUGGGUAAAGAAGCCCCGGCUAACUACGUG
rnacentral:rRNA from 1 species